rnacentral:rRNA from 1 species
UACGUAGGGGGCAAGCGUUGUCCGGAAUCAUUGGGCGUAAAGCGCGCGUAGGUGGCCUCAUAAGUCCGCUGUGAAAGUCAAAGGCUCAACCUUUGAAAGCCGGUGGAUACUGUGAGGCUAGAGUACGGAAGAGGCGAGUGGAAUUCCUGGUGUAGCGGUGGAAUGCGCAGAUAUCAGGAGGAACACCAAUAGCGAAGGCAGCUCGCUGGGACGUUACUGACACUGAGGCGACGAAAGCGUGGGGAGCGAACAGG